UUGCCAUGAUGGUUACAUUUUUCGUCAACAGUAUUUCACUUUGUGAAUGAUGAUGCUUGAAGUCUGAGCAG
rnacentral:snoRNA from 1 species